rnacentral:rRNA from 1 species
UACGUAGGAUGCAAGCGUUAUCCGGAUUUACUGGGUGUAAAGGGUGCGUAGGCGGACUUUCAAGUUGGAUGUGAAAACCCGGGGCUCAACCCCGUGAUUGCAUCCAAAACUGUAGGUCUUGAUUGGAGUAGAGGUAAGUGGAAUUCCGAGUGUAGCGGUGAAAUGCGCAGAUAUUCGGAAGAACACCGGUGGCGAAGGCGACUUACUGGACUGUAACUGACAUUGAGGCACGAAAGCGUGGGGAGCAAAC